GGGCACACAUGCGCGGGGUUUUCUCACUCCGGCUUUCAGAGGGUUCAGCCUCAUUUUAUCCCAAACUCCUGGCCGCAUGCUGCCCUCUUGCUUUCCCUGCUGGACGAGGCACUAGGAAGGUACAGCCUUCCCGAGCUGCCUAGCCCAAAUCUCCCCUUGAACCUGUCGUUCUAGCCCGGAGUUGUGAAGGACCUGAAAAGAAGAAGGAUGAAGUUAAUGGGCUGGAAAGGAAGCGGGUUUUUAAUUUAGCACAGUGACCCCCAAAAUGGAAAGGCCACUCACAAUUGCAACCCCCACAGCGCAGCCACGGCAGUCUGCGAUUUGCAAGCCUCCUCACCAUCCCAAACGUGUUUGUCUUCUUGGCGAGCAGGAAACCUCUCUUC